GCUCUUCUAGUAUUGACAAUACAAAUGACUUCCAAUCAUUAGACCCUGACACUAGUCCAGGGAAGAGCA
rnacentral:tRNA from 1 species